rnacentral:snRNA from 1 species
GGAUGUGAGGGCAAUCUGGCUGCGAUAUCUGUCACUUGAUCUCCAGGACUGAUUCACUGAGCUGGCUGGUUAAGUGGGUGUCCCCCUCUCCCCUCACGGCUCCACACGCAUCCCUCCUGAACUUGCGCACUGGAUCAAAGAGGCCCUUCUCCACUAGAGCAGGCUGGUCUUUGCACACCCCUGCUAGAACCUCCAAACAAGCUCUCUAGAUUCAUUUAUUUAUUUUACUAUUCAGGAUUCUUUGCCACUUGAUAUGAAUUUUAGGAUUAUUUUUUCAAU